CCCCCAACUGCUUUCUUAUUGGACGCAGAGAUGGCUCCUUGCCCCAGGUGGUGUACCAAGACUCUGGAGUGCUAAGUCGAUGCCGCUGGAGACACAGCCAACUGUUGGCCGACCACAUGUGGAGGCAUUUUAUUAAGUACUAUCUGCCCAGUCUCCAAGUUCGACAGAAGUGAAAGUCGGAAAAGAGAAAUCUACAAAUUGGUGAUGUAGUGAUGAUUGUAGACUCUCAGCUCCCUCGAGCUUUGUGGCCAGUGGGGAAAAUCUCAGAAGUGCACCCGGGAGCAGAUAACAGAGUCAGGUCAGCCACUGUGCAAGUUGAGAGAAGAACGUAUACUCGACCCGUAGCUCGCCUUGUCAAGCUACCAGUCGUAUCUGAUAAAGAGUAAUCCACGUGACGAAUAAGUCCCUUUUGUCAAGAUGUACAAAUUCAAUCAUUGAAUUCGGGGGCGGCUGUUCAAAAGGCUUCUUAGACUUUCUUCCAGUGACCAAUGAACAUUUGCAACGUCACCAUCAUGUGUAUCACGUGCCAUGAGGAAGUGGAGCAGGUGCGCUGAGCAGACAUGCAGAUCGCAAAC
ensembl:lncRNA